rnacentral:piRNA from 1 species
UCCAGUUUUAAAUGCCACUAGCC